rnacentral:piRNA from 1 species
ACCCAGGAACUGUUAUUAAUGAGC